rnacentral:misc_RNA from 1 species
GAAAUGCGAUACUUGGUGUGAAUUGCAGAAUCCCGUGAACCAUCGAGUCUUUGAACGCAAGUUGCGCCCGAGGUCACUAGAUCGAGGGCACGUCUGCCUGGGCGUCACACACAGCGUCGUUCCCCACCAAUCUUGUUUGUUGGGCAACGGAGAUUGGCCCCCCGAGUCUUCACAGGCACGGUCGGCAUAAAUAUUGGUCCCCGGCGGCGAGCGUCGUGGUCAACGGUGGUUGUAAAUCUCUUACCCUGAUACACGAUCUCGUUGCAUGUAGGGACGAAUCGACCCUAAGAAGUCGUUUACGACUUUCACCCUGCGACCCCAGGUCAGGCGGGAUUACCCGCUGAGUUUAA